rnacentral:rRNA from 1 species
CCUACGGGGAGCUGCAGUGGGGAAUAUUGGGCAAUGGGCGCAAGCCUGACCCAGCAAUGCCGCGUGAAGGAAGACGGCUUUCGGGUUGUAAACUUCUUUGACAGGGGAAGAGAAGAAGACGGUACCCUGAAAACAAGACACGGCUAACUACGUGGCAGCAGCCGCGGUAAUACGAAGGUGGCCAGCGUUGUCCGGAUUUACUGGGUGUAAAGGGCGUGUUGCCGGGAAGGCAAGUCAGAUGUGAAAUCUGGAGGCUCAACCUCCGAAUUGCAUUUGAAACUGUUUUGCUUGAGUGCCGGAGAGGCAGACGGAAUUCCUUGUGUAGCGGUGAAAUGCUUAGAUAUAAGGAGGAACACCAGUGGCGAAGGCAGUCUGCUGGACAGCAACUGACGGUGAGGCGCGAAGGCGUGGGGAGCAAACAGGAUUAGAUACCCGUGUAGUC